rnacentral:rRNA from 1 species
CGUGUAGGCGGCCAGGUAGGUCGGUUGUGAAAACUGGAGGCUCAACCUUCAGACGUCGACCGAAACCAUCUGGCUAGAGUCCGGAAGAGGAGAGUGGAAUUCCUGGUGUAGCGGUGAAAUGCGCAGAUAUCAGGAAGAACACCCGUGGCGAAGGCGGCUCUCUGGGACGGUACUGACGCUGAGACGCGAAAGCGUGGGAGCGAACA